rnacentral:rRNA from 1 species
ACAUCCAGAGAAUUUAGCAGAGAUGCUUUAGUGCCUUCGGGAACUCUGAGACAGGUGCUGCAUGGCUGUCGUCAGCUCGUGUUGUGAAAUGUUGGGUUAAGUCCCGNAACGAGCGCAACCCUUAUCCUUUGUUGCCAGCACGUAAUGGUGGGAACUCAAAGGAGACUGCCGGUGAUAAACCGGAGGAAGGUGGGGAUGACGUCAAGUCAUCAUGGCCCUUACGAGUAGGGCUACACACGUGCUACAAUGGCGCAUACAAAGAGAAGCGACCUCGCGAGAGCAAGCGGACCUCAUAAAAGUGCGUCGUAGUCCGGAUUGGAGUCUGCAACUCGACUCCAUGAAGUCGGAAUCGCUAGUAAUCGUAAAUCAGAAUGUUACGGUGAAUACGUUCCCGGGCCUUGUACACACCGCCCGUCACACCAUGGGAGUGGGUUGCAAAAGAAGUAGAUAGCUUAACCUUCGGGAGGGCGUUUACCACUUUGUGAUUCAUGACUGGGGUGAAGUCGUAACAAGGUAGGCGUAGUGCU